rnacentral:piRNA from 1 species
UAAUACUAUCAGUAAUUCCCUAAGGCAUGC